rnacentral:lncRNA from 1 species
AUGUGCUUACUUCUCACGAGGAUAUUCAGCGCCCUGAUCACUGGCACAAAGAAAAACAAACAAACAAACAAAAAAGCAUCAGAGCUUCCAAGUGUCUCCCGUUCUGUUCUGGCCACAUUAGGUCUCUUUCCCAACUCAGCACACCUGGGAGGGCCGCACCCGGGCCAGGCACCCAAGCUCUGCAGUCCCAAGAACGACCAGGAUAGGGGCGCUGCUAGGAGGGGCCUGUGCGCAGGGUUCAGGUCGAGGCCUUGGGCGCCUGGCGCAGGUGCGGGCAGGCUCGCGGGGAGCACCCUGCGGACCCGGGUCGGGGCGCAGCACCCACACCCAGGAAAGCGGCAUGUGGGCGCCCGUUCACUCGCUCGGAUCACAAAAGCGUGUCCCGGCCAGUGUGUGCCGGUGUUCGCAGGCGCGGGCCGCGGCGGGCGGCUUGGGCAGUUCCCCGGCGUCACCCCCCGCCCGCACCCACCCGUGACCGCGCCGGCACCCCGAGUUGCACACGACUCAGGGGGAUCCACACGGGCACCCCGACUUGCACACGACUCGGGAUGCACGCUCGGCCCAGGGGGAUCCACGCAGGCACCCCAACUUGCACACGACUCAGAGGGAUCCACACGGGCACCCCGACUUGCACACGACUCAGGGGGAUCCACACGGGCACCCCGACUUGCACACGACUCAGGGGAUCCACACGGGCACCCCGACUUGCACACGACUCAGGGGAUCCACACGGGCACCCCCACUUGCACACGGCACCCCAACUUGCACACGACUCGGGCUGCACGCCCGGCCAGGGGGAUCCACAGGGCACCCCGACUUGCACAGGACACAGGGGGAUCCACACGGGCACCCCGACUUGCACAGGACUCAGGGGAUCCACACGGGCACUCCCACUUGCACACGGCACCCCGACUUGCACACGACUCGGGCUGCACGCCCGGCCAGGGGGAUCCACAGGGCACCCCGACUUGCACAGGACUCAGGGGGAUCCACACGGGCACCCCGACUUGCACACGACUCAGAGGGAUCCACACGGGCACCCCGACUUGCACACGACUCAGGGGGAUCCACACGGGCACCCCGACUUGCACACGACUCAGGGGAUCCACACGGGCACCCCCACUUGCACACGGCACCCCGACUUCCACACGACUCGGGCUGCACGCCCGGCCAGGGGGAUCCACAGGGCACCCCGACUUGCACACGACUCGGGGGGAUCCACAGGGCACCCCGACUUGCACACGGCACCCCGACUUGCACACGACUCGGGCUGCACGCCCGGCCAGGGGGAUCCACAGGGCACCCCGACUUGCAGAACUGCAGCUCUGA